CUUUUUCAACCAGAGAAUCCUGGUCAAGCCCUGAACAGUCCAGAAACUCUGAGACGGCCCACCUGAGGAUAUCGACCCUAAGGACUCAUAUCUCAUUACAAGAAGCAUCAUGGCCGAGCCAGACUACAUAGAAGAUGACAAUCCUGAACUUAUUAGGCCUCAGAAACUGAUCAAUCCUGUCAAAACCUCCCGGAACCAUCAAGAUCUUCACAGAGAACUUCUUAUGAAUCAAAAAAGGGGUCUUGCUCCUCAGAACAAACCAGAAUUGCAGAAGGUGAUGGAAAAAAGAAAACGAGACCAAGUAAUAAAGCAGAAGGAAGAAGAAGCACAGAAGAAGAAAUCCGACUUGGAAAUAGAGCUAUUAAAACGGCAGCAGAAGUUGGAGCAGCUUGAACUUGAGAAGCAGAAAUUGCAAGAAGAGCAAGAAAAUGCCCCCGAGUUUGUGAAGGUGAAAGGCAAUCUUAGGAGAACAGGCCAAGAAGUCGCCCAAGCCCAGGAGUCCUAGGCCGAGGCUGCACCAAGACCUCGUGUGUCACCCCACAGAGCUGUCUGUGGGUG
rnacentral:sRNA from 1 species